rnacentral:rRNA from 1 species
GAUGAACGCUAGCGGCAGGCUAAAUACAUGCAAGUCGAGGGGCAGCAUGACUGUAGCAAUACAGUUGAUGGCGACCGGCAAACGGGUGCGGAACACGUACAGAACCUUCCUUCGAGCGGGGAAUAGCCCAGAGAAAUUUGGAUUAAUACCCCAUAGUAUAUUUGAAAGGAAUCUUUUAAAUAUUAAAGAUUUAUCACUUGAAGAUGGCUGGGCGGCUGAUUAGGUAGUUGGCGGGGUAACGGCCCACCAAGCCUGCGAUCAGUAACUGGUGUGAGAGCACGACCAGUCACACGGGCACUGAGACACGGGCCCGACUCCUACGGGAGGCAGCAGUAAGGAAUAUUGGUCAAUGGACGAAAGUCUGAACCAGCCAUGCCGCGUGGAGGAUGAAGGUCCUCUGGAUUGUAAACUUCUUUUAUAUGGGACGAAAAAAGGCUUUUCUAAGUCGUCUGACGGUACCAUAUGAAUAAGCACCGGCUAACUCCGUGCCAGCCGCCGCGGUAAUAC